AACGAGCGCAACCUCAUUGCAUGUAAUUUUUCAUGCGAGACUGACCCUGGUUAACAGGGAGGAAGGUGGGGAUGACGUCAAGUCAGCAUGGCCCUUACACCUUGGGCUACACACGUGUUACAAUGGCCGGUACAAUAAGUCGCAAUACCGUAAGGUGGAGCUAAUCUAUGAAAACCGGUCCCAGUUCGGAUUGGGGGCUGAAACUCGCCCCCAUGAAGUCGGAAUCGCUAGUAACCGUGAAUCAGCACGUCACGGUGAAUACGUUCCCGGGUCUU
rnacentral:rRNA from 1 species